rnacentral:sRNA from 2 species
UAGCGCGUCAUCUGGGGAGUAGCCAGCCGUUCCGACGCAAGGGAACGGGCCUUAUGUCAACAUAUUUGGCCGAGAGGUCAUGGCAUGGGGGACGCGGAAUUUCUGCGUAAGGCGAGACCAAUGGCAUCGGCGCUUUUCUGUCCGGCCGGGCGGCGAGCGAC